GACGAACGCUGGCGGCGUGCCUAACACAUGCAAGUCGAACGGGACCAGUCUUGGUGGCAACAUCUUGGUUGGUUUAGUGGCGAACGGGUGAGUAACACGUGAGGAACCUGCCCCGGAGACCGGGAUAACAGGAGGAAACUUCUGCUAAUACUGGAUGUCCCCAUUGUGCCGCAUGGUGUGGUGGGGAAAUGGGUUUCCGCUUCGGGAGGGUCUCGCGGCCUAUCAGCUUGUUGGUGGGGUAAUGGCCUACCAAGGCGUCGACGGGUAGCUGGUCUGAGAGGACGAUCAGCCACACUGGGACUGAGACACGGCCCAGACUCCUACGGGAGGCAGCAGUGGGGAAUCUUGCGCAAUGGGCGGAAGCCUGACGCAGCAACGCCGCGUGCGGGAUGAAGGCCUCGGUGUAACGACGUUCUAGCAGGACGAAGUUAGACGGUACCGUGCAGAAGAAGACCCGGCCGAACCUA
rnacentral:rRNA from 1 species